rnacentral:rRNA from 1 species
GCCGAAAAUGUACCGGGGCUAAACAUAUUACCGAAGCUGUGGAUUGUCCUUUGGACAAUGGUAGGAGAGCGUUCUAAGGGCGUUGAAGCAUGAUCGUAAGGACAUGUGGAGCGCUUAGAAGUGAGAAUGCCGGUGUGAGUAGCGAAAGAYGGGUGAGAAUCCCGUCCACCGAUUGACUAAGGUUUCCAGAGGAAGGCUCGUCCGCUCUGGGUUAGUCGGGUCCUAAGCUGAGGCCGACAGGCGUAGGCGAUGGAUAACAGGUUGAUAUUCCUGUACCACCUAUAAUCGUUUUAAUCGAUGGGGGGACGCAGUAGGAUAGGCGAAGCGUGCGAUUGGAUUGCACGUCUAAGCAGUAAGGCUGAGUAUUAGGCAAAUCCGGUACUCGUUAAGGCUGAGCUGUGAUGGGGAGAAGACAUUGUGUCUUCGAGUCGUUGAUUUCACACUGCCGAGAAAAGCCUCUAGAUAGAAAAUAGGUGCCCGUACCGCAAACCGACACAGGUAGUCAAGAUGAGAAUUCUAAGGUGAGCGAGCGAACUCUCGUUAAGGAACUCGGCAAAAUGACCCCGUAACUUCGGGAGAAGGGGUGCUCUUUAGGGUUAACGCCCAGAAGAGCCGCAGUGAAUAGGCCCAAGCGACUGUUUAUCAAAAACACAGGUCUCUGCUAAACCGUAAGGUGAUGUAUAGGGGCUGACGCCUGCCCGGUGCUGGAAGGUUAAGAGGAGUGGUUAGCUUCUGCGAAGCUACGAAUCGAAGCCCCAGUAAACGGCGGCCGUAACUAUAACGGUCCUAAGGUAGCGAAAUUCCUUGUCGGGUAAGUUCCGACCCGCACGAAAGGCGUAACGAUUUGGGCACUGUCUCAACGAGAGACUCGGUGAAAUCAUAGUACCUGUGAAGAUGCAGGUUACCCGCGACAGGACGGAAAGACCCCGUGGAGCUUUACUGUAGCCUGAUAUUGAAAUUCGGCACAGCUUGUACAGGAUAGGUAGGAGCCUUUGAAACGUGAGCGCUAGCUUACGUGGAGGCGCUGGUGGGAUACUACCCUAGCUGUGUUGGCUUUCUAACCCGCACCACUUAUCGUGGUGGGAGACAGUGUCAGGCGGGCAGUUUGACUGGGGCGGUCGCCUCCUAAAAGGUAACGGAGGCGCUCAAAGGUUYCCUCAGAAUGGUUGGAAAUCAUUCAUAGAGUGUAAAGGCAUAAGGGAGCUUGACUGCGAGACCUACAAGUCGAGCAGGGUCGAAAGACGGACUUAGUGAUCCGGUGGUUCCGCAUGGAAGGGCCAUCGCUCAACGGAUAAAAGCUACCCCGGGGAUAACAGGCUUAUCUCCCCCAAGAGUUCACAUCGACGGGGAGGUUUGGCACCUCGAUGUCGGCUCAUCGCAUCCUGGGGCUGUAGUCGGUCCCAAGGGUUGGGCUGUUCGCCCAUUAAAGCGGUACGCGAGCUGGGUUCAGAACGUCGUGAGACAGUUCGGUCCCUAUCCGUCGUGGGCGUAGGAAAUUUGAGAGGAGCUGUCCUUAGUACGAGAGGACCGGGAUGGACAUACCUCUGGUGUACCAGUUGUCGUGCCAACGGCAUAGCUGGGUAGCUAUGUGUGGACGGGAUAAGUGCUGAAAGCAUCUAAGCAUGAAGCCCCCCUCAAGAUGAGAUUUCCCAACUUCGGUUAU